rnacentral:rRNA from 1 species
GAGUGAAGAAGNCCUUCGGGUUGUAAAGCUCUUUCAGUGAGGAAGAUAAUGACGGUACUCACAGAAGAAGUCCUGGCUAACUCCGUGCCAGCAGCCGCGGUAAUACGGAGAGGGCUAGCGUUAUUCGGAAUCAUUGGGCGUAAAGGGCGCGUAGGCGGAUUAGUAAGUUAAAAGUGAAAUCCCAGGGCUUAACCUUGGAACUGCUUUUAAAACUGCUUAUCUAGAGAUUGAAAGAGGAUAGAGGAAUUCCUAGUGUAGAGGUGAAAUUCGUAAAUAU